rnacentral:tRNA from 1 species
GCCCGGAUGGCACAAUGGUACUGCGCCACGCUCGAGACGUGGUUUCCGCAAGGAUCUCCCAGUUCGAUUCUGGGUCCGGGCG